rnacentral:rRNA from 1 species
GACGAACGCUGGCGGCGUGCCUAAUACAUGCAAGUCGAACGCACUCUCGUUUAGAUUGAAGGAGUUUGCUCCUGAUUGAUAAACAAUUACGUGAGUGUCGGCCGGGUGUGAAAUACGUGGGAAACCUGCCCUAAGGGGGGGGUAACCAUUUGGAACCAGUGCCUAAUACCGCAGAAAACCUAACACCGCAUGGUGUGGGUUGGAACGAGGGUUUCGGCUUUCACUUUAGGAUGGAGCCGCGGCGCAUUAGUUAGUUGGUGAGGUAAAGGCUUACCAAGACCGUGAUGCAUAGCCGACCGCAGAGGGUAAUCGGCCACACUGGGACUGAGACACGGCCAAGACUCCUAAGGGAGGCAGCAGUAGGGAAUCUUCCACAAUGGACGAAAGUCUGAUGGAGCAACGCCGCGUGAGUGAAGAAGGUUUUCGGAUCGUAAAACUCUGUUGUGGGAGAAGAAUGUAUCUGAUAGUAACUGAUCAGGUAGUGACGGUAUCCAACCAGAAAGCCACGGCUAACUACGUG